rnacentral:rRNA from 1 species
UGGGGAAUAUUGCACAAUGGGCGCAAGCCUGAUGCAGCCAUGCCGCGUGUGUGAAGAAGGCCUUCGGGUUGUAAAGCACUUUCAGCGAGGAGGAAGGUGGUGAGCUUAAUACGCUCAUCAAUUGACGUUACUCGCAGAAGAAGCACCGGCUAACUCCGUGCCAGCAGCCGCGGUAAUACGGAGGGUGCAAGCGUUAAUCGGAAUUACUGGGCGUAAAGCGCACGCAGGCGGUUUGUUAAGUCAGAUGUGAAAUCCCCGGGCUCAACCUGGGAACUGCAUUUGAAACUGGCAAGCUAGAGUCUCGUAGAGGGGGGUAGAAUUCCAGGUGUAGCGGUGAAAUGCGUAGAGAUCUGGAGGAAUACCGGUGGCGAAGGCGGCCCCCUGGACGAAGACUGACGCUCAGGUGCGAAAGCGCGGGGAGCAAACAGGAUUAGAUACCCUGGUAGUCCACGCUGUAAACGAUGUCGAUUUUGGAGGUUGUGCCCUUGAGGCGUGGCUUCCGGAGCUAACGCGUUAAAUCGACCGCCUGGGGAGUACGGCCGCAAGGUUAAAACUUAAAUGAAUUGACGGGGUC